rnacentral:lncRNA from 7 species
GGGCCAGGGAAAAGGUGUUGUCUUGAAACGAAUGGAAAAGGGGGCGGUUGCUUUGGUAAAAACUUGAUGAUUAUCUUAUCUAAAGAUAUGAUAUAUCGAUCUCCUCGUGGUAAUUAAGCUAGGCUUUCGAAGACAUGCAUGGUAACUAGCUGCUAGUGUCUGCCUUCAAUCCCUUGGGUUGCAGCUGACAGUGAGCAAAAUGCUUUUCCACGACACGGUCACAUCCAGCUUUUCACUGGAUUUGGUUUUCAAAUCCUUGUUCCUGGCUGGAAUCGAUAUGAAACAUACAUGUGGUUGAUGUCUUUGAUAGGUAGCUAGUCUGGCUUUGUUCAUCGGAUAUUAUGCUCUACAAAUCUCUACCUGCGCUGAGAUGAGUGUGGGGUUGAUUGGCUGCAGCGUACGUGGCAGCACUACUGGUUCACCUGCACGUCUCCUCUCCUCACCCAUAAGAUGAUGUCGUCCUUUGUUUUAUCAAUGCAGAAACAUCUAAAUCUAGUGCCAGCAGCGGCCUUCCUGUUCCUCUCUGUAUUUGUCUAUCUCCUACAGCAGCAGCUAGCCUCUUGUUGGCAGCAUGAGAUAGAGAGAGGUCAUGCAGCACAGGCGACAUGCGGUGCGUGUGUAAACAGUUUGGAAAAAAAAGAGUGGUAGCGGUAAAUUCGAAUCUUUAUUACACC